CUGCUAUACUGCAGUCGAGCGGACAGAAGGGAGCUUGCUCCCGGAUGUUAGCGGCGGACGGGUGAGUAACACGUGGGUAACCUGCCUGUAAGACUGGGAUAACUCCGGGAAACCGGAGCUAAUACCGGAUAGUUCCUUGAACCGCAUGGUUCAAGGAUGAAAGACGGUUUCGGCUGUCACUUACAGAUGGACCCGCGGCGCAUUAGCUAGUUGGUGAGGUAACGGCUCACCAAGGCGACGAUGCGUAGCCGACCUGAGAGGGUGAUCGGCCACACUGGGACUGAGACACGGCCCAGACUCCUACGGGAGGCAGCAGUAGGGAAUCUUCCGCAAUGGACGAAAGUCUGACGGAGCAACGCCGCGUGAGUGAUGAAGGUUUUCGGAUCGUAAAGCUCUGUUGUUAGGGAAGAACAAGUGCAAGAGUAACUGCUUGCACCUUGACGGUACCUAACCAGAAAGCCACGGCUAACUACGUGCCAGCAGCCGCGGUAAUACGUAGGUGGCAAGCGUUGUCCGGAAUUAUUGGGCGUAAAGGGCUCGCAGGCGGUUUCUUAAGUCUGAUGUGAAAGCCCCCGGCUCAACCGGGGAGGGUCAUUGGAAACUGGGAAACUUGAGUGCAGAAGAGGAGAGUGGAAUUCCACGUGUAGCGGUGAAAUGCGUAGAGAUGUGGAGGAACACCAGUGGCGAAGGCGACUCUCUGGUCUGUAACUGACGCUGAGGAGCGAAAGCGUGGGGAGCGAACAGGAUUAGAUACCCUGGUAGUCCACGCCGUAAACGAUGAGUGCUAAGUGGUUAGGGGGUUUCCGCCCCUUAGUGCUGCAGCUAACGCAUUAAGCACUCCGCCUGGGGAGUACGGUCGCAAGACUGAAACUCAAAGGAAUUGACGGG
rnacentral:rRNA from 1 species